GUGGAGCGCGGGAUCUGAGCCGGUAGUAGCCAAACGAUGGGGUGACGCAGGAGGGUAGCUCCGCCAGCUGUUGGUGACUGGUGUAAGCGUGUAGGGAGACCGGUAGGCAAAUCCGUCGGUCGUAUAUCCUGAGACGUGAUGCAUAGCCGAUUGAGGCGAAGUAGAGUGAUCCCAUGCUGCCGAGAAAAGCCUCUAGUGAGUUUCCACGCGGCCCGUACCCCAAACCGACACAGGUGGUCAGGUAGAGAAUACCAAGGCGAUCGGGUGAACUAUGGUUAAGGAACUCGGCAAAAUGCCCCCGUAACUUCGGGAGAAGGGGGGCCAUUGGGUUUGAAGCCCCUUGCGGGCUAGGAUCUGGUGGCCGCAGAGACCAGCGAGAAGCGACUGUUUACUAAAAACACAGGUCCGUGCGAAGUCGCAAGACGAUGUAUACGGACUGACGCCUGCCCGGUGCUGGAACGUUAAGAGGACCGGUUAGUCCCUUUGGGGGCGAAGCUGAGAAUUUAAGCGCCAGUAAACGGCGGUGGUAACUAUAACCAUCCUAAGGUAGCGAAAUUCCUUGUCGGGUAAGUUCCGACCUGCACGAAUGGCGUAACGACUUCUCGACUGUCUCAACCAUAGGCCCGGCGAAAUUGCACUACGAGUAAAGAUGCUCGUUACGCGCGGCAGGACGGAAAGACCCCGGGACCUUUACUAUAGCUUGGUAUUGGUGCUUGGUUCGGUUUGUGUAGGAUAGGUGGGAGACUGUGAAGCGGCCACGCCAGUGGUUGUGGAGUCGUUGUUGAAAUACCACUCUGAUCGUACUGAGUGUCUAACUUCGGACCGUGAUCCGGUUCAGGGACAGUGCCUGGUGGGUAGUUUAACUGGGGCGGUUGCCUCCCAAAGGGUAACGGAGGCGCCCAAAGGUUCCCUCAGCCUGGUUGGCAAUCAGGUGUUGAGUGCAAGUGCACAAGGGGGCUUGACUGUGAGACUGACAGGUCGAGCAGGGACGAAAGUCGGGACUAGUGAUCCGGCGCUGGCUGGUGGAAGCGGCGUCGCUCAACGGAUAAAAGGUACCCCGGGGAUAACAGGCUGAUCUUGCCCAAGAGUCCAUAUCGACGGCAUGGUUUGGCACCUCGAUGUCGGCUCGUCGCAUCCUGGGGCUGGAGUAGGUCCCAAGGGUUGGGCUGUUCGCCCAUUAAAGCGGUACGCGAGCUGGGUUUAGAACGUCGUGAGACAGUUCGGUCCCUAUCCGCCGCGCGCGUUGGAGACUUGAGGAAGGCUGUCCCUAGUACGAGAGGACCGGGACGGACGAACCUCUGGUGUGCCAGUUGUCCCGCCAGGGGCAUGGCUGGUUGGCUACGUUCGGAAGGGAUAACCGCUGAAGGCAUCUAAGCGGGAAGCCUGUUCCAAGAUGAGGUCUCCCGCCCCCUUUGAGGGGUUAAGGCCCCCAGUAGACGACUGGGUUGAUAGGCCAGAGAUGGAAGCCUGGUAACGGGUGGAGUUGACUGGUACUAAUAGGCCGAGGGCUUGUUACA
rnacentral:rRNA from 2 species